rnacentral:lncRNA from 1 species
UGGGGUGCUCUUAUAACGUGUAGGAUUGUCAUAUGAUUAAAUCUCAUGAAGAAAAAUAGUAAAAAAAAUUUAAAAUUAUUUUAAUCAUAAAUAUAUUUAGAAUAGAUCUAAAAUAAUUUAUGAUUAAUUAUAAUUUUAAUAAAAUAAAUUUAGAUAUGAAAAUUAUUUGAAGAUCUAAAUUGUAGGUUGCAUGUGAUGU